CGAAACAAAUCUAGGGGCAUAUAUGCACUUUUACGAAGCUAAUGGGUCCGUACGUGGUUUUGAAUAAUUCUGGGGUCCAAACAGAAUUGGCGUCUUCCCGAACGCGAAGCCUAUCGCACCAUCACCGGCGAAUUCCACCGAGUAAUUUUAAUCUUACCUCUGUUCUAUGGUGGUAAAGUGAAGCAACCUCUGAAUUAAUUUCGAACUUGAAUAUUACUCUGAAGAUAUGUCAAAUUCGACGAGGCGGCGACAAUGGAUGAAGCUCUUUCCUUUGAAUAUAGGACGCAGGUUUGCUAACAUAACGAUGAUUUCUUGUAUCUGCAGUCAUCAAUCUAGAUAUAUAUAUUUGUUUUUCGCUAGGCUAUUCUCGCAAGAAACUGAUAAAACUUCAACGAAACCGGUACUAAUUGAUUACAAUUAUUAAUCUUCUCUUGAAGACGAGGAUGAAGGUUUUUCCUCAAUUGUUCUUCUAUCUUAAGCACAUACAAAGGAAUGUUCAUCGAUUUUGCAUUUCUCCGAUAUUAUACUAGUACCUAAUUAUCAGGAUUCACCGAUUCAGGUAUAUGUAGUAAUGUAGAUAAGAGAUUGAUCUUGCAAACACUUAGCGGAAAGCGGUGUAUUAACAGCUUUUAGUUGAUUCAUAUUACUCAGUUCGAGAGAUUAUGUGGUAUGAAAUUUUGAACAUUUGGUACUUGUAUAGUCUUUCAGUCUGCAAUUUGAAAUGAGUGCUUCGCUUAGCUAGCUGCUUUCCAUCAUAUAAGGAGAACCAUCACAAUGCAAAUAACGGAGAACACACCAAGUUAAGGUGCUAGAGAGUAAAAGAGCUCCCAAAACCUUCCUGGAGCUAUUUCAUGAGUGUAGAAUUUCCCUGGCUUCUAGAUGCUAUCUAUCUCAAUUUAUUGAAAUUGUUUAACUAACCUCUCUCCGUAUUAUAAAUGGGAAAAAUGCACACAUGUAUUCCCUGUCACCAUAUGUACCAACCUCUUUAAGAGCAGCAGUAGGACCUCACUGAUUCCGUCCGUCAUUUUGAAGAGUUUGUGGUUUCUUAUGCUAUGUGGGAUGUGUUUCUGUUCGAUCUGAUUCCAAACCAUCCACAAUGAUACCCGCUCCAGGAAAUUUGUUGCUUGAUUUGUUAAGAGGUGCGAGCUAAUUGAAUGGGUGGUCCGUCCUAUCUUUACUCAUUGAUAUCUUGUACUUUAGCAUUAUUUAGUUGCUUGUCCAUGUCCCCUGUGUACAUAGUUGAUAUAGUUUUUCAAUCCGAGUUAAUUUUAAAUUUUGUAGAUUCCAUCCCUUUACUGGAGCACAUGUUGUGAUAUAAUGUUUAUUUUGUUGGGUUUAGUUGAUAGGUUGAAUGGGAAAUGGAGGGAAAAGAAGUGGAGGAAAAAAUGAUUUGUUCUCUCUUGCUGUAUGAAAUAAGCAUUUGUCCCACAUAGGUGGUGGAAAGAAAAAAUCUCCUUUCAUAUUGCUAAAGGGUCAAGAAGAGGGUCUCCCCUCGCGCCGUCGUGGCUCGCUCGGCUACGGCUACGGCCCGUUUCUUUCUUUCCCGGAUUAAUUUAAAAAAUAUUUCCCUCCGUUUUUCCAACGGAUUUUUUGAAAGGUUGCAACCUUGUUCGAAAAGUUGCAAACCUUUUCUCAACAGGCAAGCAUUUUCCCAACAGGUGUUUUUUCUUAAAAGGUGCAAACAGGCUAUAUAUAUAUAUAUGUUAAUCCUCAGAAUACUCUAUACGAAAAUUCUGAUAGACAUCUUCUUCUUCUUCUUUUCUGCACUUACCAACAUAUUUCACAUCUUACUGAAUCUGAUAUUGGAUUUCAACUCUAACAGACUCUUCAACAAAUUAGUUGACAAUGGAAUGAUCUUUUUCUCACCUUGUAAUUUUCCAUUGCACUGCCUUUGCCCCCAUACUGCAACUGUUUCCACGUGGUGCCAUACAGAGGGCAUCUCUUACAGUAUGUAAUGUUCUCAUUCUUGGGAAACAAACUUCCCACAUCUUGAGUUUCACCACUUUUGGCCAAUUUUCUCUGUUUUUAGGUGAGGUGUUUUUAAAAUACACUAGGCAUUUUUUUCAGCCAGCUAGUCAUAAUCCGUUUCAGGUAGUACUUCGAGGAAGUCUACAAAAAAUUCUUUCACAUGGAUGGUUUCAUCAGUGUCCUAUGGGCUAGACACAGAACCAGAAACUUUGCAAUUUGGCUUGAUAACCAUUGGCUAUAGAAUGACUACAACACAAUGCAAAAUAAAUAUAAUAGCGAUGUUGGCUGCUGAUGGAAGAAGGUGAAAGGUAUGAUGAACAACUUUAAUUCUUUAUCUACAGCAAUAUAUGUAGCAACUUUGAUUUUAUAAUCUGGCAUUGUAGGUGUAGCUUUUCUAUCUUGGUUUCUAUUUAUCUCUUCAUCUUAUAAUUGGGAAUGAUUUAGCUUUAGAGUUGAGAGAAAGGUGGAACUCUCAAAUAAGAAUUUCAGCUAUUAGUGGAUGCUUUAUAGAUUAACCUUUUCUCCACAUGCUAUUUUCCCUUAAUAGGUGAACUGCCUAAUGUGGAUUUGUUCAUAAUUAGUCUUUCAGCGUGAAGAAAAGGGACUUUUUACUGCAUAUUGGUGGAGUUUAGACUCUAGUUCUCUCCUUCACUUCAUUGGUUAUUAAAUUAUUCUAAACGUUUCCAGUAAAAUGUGAAAGCAAAUGGACAUUUGGGGAUUACACGUCUCAGAACCACGAUGCCCCGACGUGGGAAAAGCAACUCAAUUUCUACAUGGGCUACAUUCCUAUACAUUAAUCUCUUUUUCUUUUCUAUUUUCAGUAAGAAUUUCACGUGCUAUUUUUUUUUUUACCUUUAAUGGUUUGCUCAUGAACUUUUUUUUAAUCUGCACGUUGGUGGAGUUUGCCAAAGCAAAUUUGCCUUUAUAGUUAAACAAUAGCUAUGGUGUUAUAGUUUUACAUUAAAUUAGUUGCUUUGUUUUGAAUGG